CCUACGGGAGGCAGCAGUGGGGGAUAUUGCACAAUGGGGGAAACCCUGAUGCAGCGACGCCGCGUGUGGGAAGACGGUCCUCUGGAUUGUAAACCACUGUCCCAAGGGACGAAGCUGACGGUACCUGGUGAGGAAGCUCCGGCUAAAUACGUGCCAGCAGCCGCGGUAAUACGUAGGGAGCAAGCGUUGUCCGGAAUUACUGGGUGAAAGGGGAGCGGAGGCGGGAUGGCAAGUUGGGUGUUAAAUCUACCGGCUCAACUGGUAGUCGCACUCAAAACUGCUAUUCUUGAGUGAAGUAGAGGCAGGCGGAAUUCCUAGUGUAGCGGUGAAAUGCGUAGAUAUUAGGAGGAACACCAGUGGCGAAGGCGGCCUGCUGGGCUUUUACUGACGCUGAGGCUCGAAAGUGUGGGGAGCAAACAGGAUUAGAUACCCCUGUAGUC
rnacentral:rRNA from 1 species